GGAAAAGGCCCACAGCAAAAGUUUGGACACCUUGUAGUUGACCGUGGGGCCCAAACUGCAUGCCAGUGAAACUCUACUUUGGCAGCCGAGCACUUCAUGUUAUCUGUGGACCAGGCCAUUGUGAAUGGCCAUAUCACUAUCUUCAGCGACGCACUUAUCCUGAUGUUUGGCUCUUACUACUGCACAAACAUUUCUUAUCCAGUAGCCCAGGCAGCAACCUUGGAAUUCUUGCAACGAUGCCUUAAGAUAAACCCCGACAAGGGAUCCAAAGUGGAGUGGAACACGUCUAAGAAAAACCUUGCAGUCAAUCCAAAGGUUCUGACGUUGAUCGCCAAAAUUGCGGACUAUGAGUGGAGAGCAUAAAAAGUUCUUAUUUUUAUCCUGAGGAUAACAUAAUCUGCUGUUCAGUAGCACUGGUCUCCGGUUCAUGGUCAAUGUCAACAGCACGGGUGGCCUGCUUGAUAGGGGAAAAGUGAAAUAUAGGCUGCAAAUCCUAUUCGCAUUUAGCUAGCAUUAGUGCUAGCCAGUUGGUAUGUUACUGUCUGCUGACAGGCUCUCUGUCACUCUGUCCUGCUUUAGGUGUAGCAUUGUCUUAACUUGUGGUGCUUGCUCUGCAAACACAGUCCCAUUUGUUCAGUUAUUUUGGUAAAAGUUUGUGUUAAAGUGACAACUUACAACAUAUCAAUACUUAUCAGUUAAGUAUAAUCAGCAUAACAAUGAGGCUUUUGUUUUACUCGAGUUGUUCUUUGCAUAUGAUUACUUUGCAAAUUUCUCCAAGGGAACCCAAAUGGCCAGCAGCAGCCCUGAAUGUGAGACUUUCAGAAAGCUAGAGCUACUUCUAAACCUGCAGGUUAUGUGCCUCAAAUAUACCCCUUUUCGUUGCUCCAGAUGUGGGGAGGCAGAUGAACGUUCGAGGUGGCAUCGUCCCCUUCUUUUGUGCUCAAAUGUGCGUUUGCAUUACA